UACGUAGGUGGCAAGCGUUGUCCGGAAUUAUUGGGCGUAAAGCGCGCGCAGGCGGUCCUUUAAGUCUGAUGUGAAAGCCCACGGCUCAACCGUGGAGGGUCAUUGGAAACUGGGGGACUUGAGUGCAGAAGAGGAAAGUGGAAUUCCACGUGUAGCGGUGAAAUGCGUAGAGAUGUGGAGGAACACCAGUGGCGAAGGCGACUUUCUGGUCUGUAACUGACGCUGAGGCGCGAAAGCGUGGGGAGCAAACAGGAUUAGAAA
rnacentral:rRNA from 1 species